UAGCCACCAAUAGUGCUUACUGAAGGUAGCAUCAGUGAAUUUCCGUUCUUGAAUCACAUGUGAAUUUUUGUUUCGUCUUUGCACAGUUGAUUAAUUUUAACCAAUUUCAAAAUUAAAAAUUAAAUCCAUACAAAUUAAUUUCUGACAACAAAAUAUGGCACAAAAUGAAGGUGGAAAUCGUAUAAUUAAUAUGGCAAAAUCAGUUUAUAAUGAUCCAUUCAUGUGGAAUCUAGUGAAAAGUUGGGCGUUUUUUGCUGGUGGUGUAUUCAUUGCUCGUGAAGUUUUUGAAUUUGAUCCAUCAUUUGCUGUGGCACCACCAAUGGGACCACCAUAAUUGCUCGAAGUUUCCAGAAAUCAAUAAUUUUUUGUCUAGAAUUCAUUAAAUCUCACACUAAUACCAAUUUUAAUAGUUUUUUCUUGUCAU